rnacentral:rRNA from 1 species
AGGACGAACGCUGGCGGCGUGCUUAACACAUGCAAGUCGAGCGGAAAGGCCCUUCGGGGUACUCGAGCGGCGAACGGGUGAGUAACACGUGAGCAACCUGCCCUUAGCUUCGGGAUAGCUCCGGGAAACCGGAAUUAAUACCGAAUAUGACUUUGGCUGACAUCAGCAGAAGUGGAAAGUUUUUCGGCUAGGGAUGGACUCGCGGCCUAUCAGCUAGUUGGUGAGGUAACGGCCCACCAAGGCGACGACGGGUAGCCGGCCUGAGAGGGCGACCGGCCACACUGGGACUGAGACACGGCCCAGACUCCUACGGGAGGCAGCAGUGGGGAAUAUUGCGCAAUGGGCGAAAGCCUGACGCAGCGACGCCGCGUGGGGGAUGAAUGCCUUCGGGUUGUAAACCCCUUUCAGCAGGGACGAAGCGAAAGUGACGGUACCUGCAGAAGAAGCGCCGGCUAACUACGCGCCAGCAGCCGC